rnacentral:lncRNA from 1 species
GCAGGCACCAGAGCCUCUUCAGUCUUGAGGGCCACCCCUCCCUCCUUUCUUCUCUGGUGAGGUCAGGUGAUGCAUUUCUGAAGCCCUAUUGGAUGAAGAGGUUUGACCCUUCCUAGCUGUGUAGAUUCCAGGAAAAAUUUGAAUUGUCCUUCUGGGACCUCACUCCCACUCCAGCCCAGCCACUUACAGCCCCACUAGGCCAGGCAAAGCUUGUGAUCAGAGAUACCAACAUUAAAUUUCAAGAACGAAAGACAUAGCUGGAAAUUUUUCUGUGUUGAGAUCUGGGUAACAAGGAAAUCUGCCACCUGGAAGAGUUUGCAGAGAAUAUAAGGAUGACCUCAGCUUGCUUCACCCAUCCGCUGAAGCUACUGUGAUGUUGGACAAAGCCAAAGAAUCCAUAGAAUCCUGAGCACGUUUCUCUGGUUUCAAGUCUGACAAAAACCCCAGGGGAUUUUCAUACCCCUGUGUUUGAUCAUUAGCCUACCCUGAAGCCCCAUGGUCCAGAUUCAAUUUCUAGAGCCUUCUACUGCUUACAGGGCCUGGGUGGUUGCCAUGAGCAGAAACACUGUUCAUCUUGUGCCCAGUCCAUAUCAGAUCUCCUCAAGUCCAAGAUGAAGACUUUGGUGUCUCACCCAUGC